CUCUCCCCUUUUAUGACUCGUACAGGUAAAAGCAUCAGCUAGCUAAUCCCCUUCUUCCUUCCUGCAUUUGCUGCUAGCAGUGGCUAUCUUCUCCCUCAAAUCCCCACUCUAGUACUGUUGCUGCUGCCACCAUGUUGCUCUCGGCGCCCUCAAUGCCCAGGCUACCAACAAGACCUGCCCUCCUAAUCCUCCUCCUUGAGCUCUCCAACCCACAGCUCAAAGAAGUGGACUCCCAUGGCUAGAAUGGAGUCACGCAUGGAACUCUAAGCCCAGAUGCCCUGACCAGUGCCCCAUAGUGCUCGACAUCACCGUGCAACCAUCCCCUAGGUCCAGUUCUUCCCCAAACCGGCAGUCCUCCUUCCUACCGAGCUGAUGGUGGUGCUCUACGUCACCAUUUUCAGGUUGAUUGGCUACAAAUCUUGGGAAUGGUUGGCAAUUGAGGUGAAGGUGGAGAGGGGUUGUGUUGCUCGAUGUGUUCACUGGUUGAAGGUGAUUGUUGUGCCCAUAUCUAUCUCACCUACUUCCACCUUCUCUUACUUAUUACCAGGAGGUGUUAGGAAUGCUGCCCAUACUUCUCCCUGUUGAUUUUCACUAUUAUUAUGGGUAUGUGUCACAAGCUCACUAGGUGAGAGUUUUUAUUUACUCUUUGCACUGUGGUCACCUUGACCACCCUUGACUGGAUAAAGAAAAUAUGGCUUCUUUUAUGGUGGUACCAAUUGUGGCCGCAAGGGUGAAAGACGAGUUAGUGGCUCAUUCGUUAGUUGAAUGAUGAUAAUCAAGACUAGCUUAAAGUGUUGAUCUAUCCUUGAUGGCAUUGAUACCUCUCUGAGUUAGCAGAUGAAAGUUGCAGUUUAUGGGUGUGACAGCUAAUUUGCAGCUAGUAUGAACCUCUUAUAUGCUUAUGUAUUCAGACCAUCUACAUUUCUAAUUAUUUAAUCGAAUGCACUUCUAGACAUGUAUUGAAA